rnacentral:rRNA from 1 species
GCGCGAUAAGAUGAGCCGAUGUCGGAUUAGCUAGUUGGCGGGGUAAAGGCCCACCAAGGCGACGAUCCGUAGCUGGUCUGAGAGGAUGAUCAGCCACACUGGAACUGAGACACGGUCCAG